rnacentral:rRNA from 1 species
CCUACGGGAGGCAGCAGUGGGGAAUAUUGGUCAAUGGGCGUAAGCCUGAACCAGCCAAGCCGCGUGAGGGAUGAAGGUUCUAUGGAUCGUAAACCUCUUUUAUAAGGGAAUAAGGUGUGGGACGUGUCCUCUUUUGUAUGUACCUUAUGAAUAAGGAUCGGCUAAAUCCGUGCCAGCAGCCGCGGUAAUACGGAGGAGCCGAGCGUUAUCCGGAUUUAUUGGGUUUAAGGGGUGCGUAGGCGGUUGUUUAAGUCAGCGGUGAAAGACUGUGGCUCAACCAUAGAAUUGCCGUUGAAACUGGGGGGCUUGAGUAUGUUUGAGGCAGGCGGAAUGCGUGGUGUAGCGGUGAAAUGCGUAGAUAUCAGGCAGAACCCCGAUUGCGAAGGCAGCCUGCCAAGCCAUGACUGACGCUGAUGCACGAAAGCGUGGGGAUCAAACAGGAGUAGAUACCCGAGUAGUC